GCGCGGCGGGUCAGGGGUGGAGAAGGAGAGGAGAUGCCGGCUUAGGGCUCCCCGCCCACCCCCAGACCUGCCCGGCCCGGCCCGACAGGUUGACGGCAGUAGAGCCAGAGCAUCGUGAUUCACGACAGUGAAAAGGGGGAAACAACCCAAGUGACCAUCAACGGAUGGAUAAACAAAGGUGGUCCAUCCACGCAGUGAAAUGAUUCAGCCUUAAAAAGGAAAGAGAUCCUGACACCUGCUACACCAUGGAUGUACCUGAAGGACAUGAUGCUCAGUGAGAAGCCAGACACAGAAGGACAAAUACUG